AUCGUAUAUGCGAAGACAGUCAAACUGAUGGGCGAUCGCGUGAAUGCAGCUGGUCUCGAUUUUAGUGAGAUAUUAUCUGAAGAGGUUGAGACUGAGCUGAAAGAAGCAGCUAUUAUUUCAAUGGGGACUGAAGUUAGUGACCUGGACCUUUGUAAUAUAAAAGCUCUCUGUGACCAAGUGGUCUCUCUCUCAGAAUAUCGAGCUCAGCUUUAUGACUAUCUGAGAAGCAGAAUGAACACUAUCGCUCCGAAUUUGACUGCUCUUGUUGGGGAGCUUGUCGGUGCUCGUCUUAUUGCACAUGGUGGGAGUUUGUUGAAUCUCGCAAAGCAACCAGGGAGUACGAUUCAGAUUCUUGGUGCAGAAAAGGCCCUCUUUAGAGCUCUGAAGACCAAGCAUGCUACACCAAAAUAUGGGCUUAUCUUUCAUGCAUCCUUGGUUGGCCAAGCAGCUCCAAAACUGAAGGGGAAGAUUUCUCGUUCACUUGCCGCCAAGUCUGUAAUUGCCUCUCGUUAUGAUGCCUUUGCUGAUACCGAUGACAGCUCUUUUGGCCUGGAGAA
rnacentral:misc_RNA from 1 species